ensembl:lncRNA
GCUUGCUUUUACCAACCAACCCUUUAAUUCUGCAUUCCUCAGGGGCACAGAUAAGUCUCAAGUACAUUUAGGGACCUGUUCGCCUCUAGGACCCUGAGGCGGGCAGGUAAGAUUGUGGCCGAUCCCUCCCACCCGGGUCACAAACUCUUUGAGGUUCUUCCCUCCGGCAGAAGGAUGCGGUCCAUCAGGACCAAAACCUCACGCCACAAAACCAGCUUCUUCCCGGCCGCAGUUGGCCUUAUUUACAAGGCCCGGGACCCCCACCUGACCUGGACUCUUAUCCCACCCCCACACCCUAAGUCUGUGUUACAUUAACACACAUUACAUUGCACAUUGCUCAUCCACAUUGCACUCCUGUUUUGCUUUUUGCACUCUACUUUCCACUUUACUUUUUUUAUAUUCAUUGUUUAUAUAUUUGUAUCGUAUAUAUUGUGUUUUUUGGUUCUUAUGUGUAGUACUUUUCUUAUGUGUAGUACUUAUUUGUGAUUUUAUGUUAUGUGUAGUACUUAUUGUGUUUCUAUGUUUUUAUGUUUUAUGUUUACUGUAUGCACCUUCACACCAGAAAAAAUUCCAAGUAGGUGUAAACCUACUUGGCAAUAAAUCCUAUUCUGAUUCUGAUUCUGAUUCUGAUUCUGAUUCUGAGGAAGGAAUCAGCUUUGGGUAACACUUAAAAUGACAUCACAUUGUGUACUUAGGCUGUAUAGUAAAGUGCAACACGAUACAUUUCAUGAUGACAGUAAUCCUGAUCUUAACACAUGUAUUUGUUUGUAAAGUGCAAAGUAUCAGUAUGCUGUUACUCAUCACCAAUCAGUGAGUUACGCAAUACUUGAUUUAUGUGUGAUAAAUGGUAACUUUACAGACAAUGUAAACUAUGUUGUCUAAUAAUGUUUUAACUAAUUAAAAAAAAAAAAUGAUUUUCUUUUGUUUUGUUUUUCUUUUUUUAUGUCUUUUUUUUAAGUGUCUUUGAGAACUGUGAAAAGCGCUAUAUAAAUGUGAUGUAUUAUUAUCAUUUUUAUUAUUAUUAUUAAUAAAGGUGGAAUAUGCAACAGAUUUGGAUGUUUGGAUGGACUUACAAUGAACAUGUGCAGAUGUGCAUGCUCCGUUUAGCCAAAGGGAUUUAGUUAACAGGUUCCCCCCGCAGACAUUAGCCAAUGGGAUUUAGUUAACAGGUUCCCCCCGCAGACAUUAGCAACAUUCAGACCAUCCUGAUCGUCGACAGGGCUGGAGUUUAAAGGUUCCCCCUGCAGACAUUAGCCAAUGGGAUUUAGUUUACAGGUUCCCCCUGCAGACAUUAUCAACAUUCAGACCAUCCUGAACAUCGACAGGGCUGGUCCAGUUUUGCAGCCCAAGGCGAGAUGUUUUCCGAGCCUCGUCUAAAUCUGACUUUCA